GUGCUCACGUUGGCAAUACAUAUGCUAAAAUUGGAUUGAAACAGAUUAGAUUAGCAUGGUCCCUGCACAAGGGUGACACACAAAUUUAUGAAAUGCUCUAUAUUUAA